rnacentral:lncRNA from 1 species
CAGUGAGCUUCAUGGCCCAGUUCAAGAUUUGAUCCCUUGCCUCCCAAGUCCCUAGUCCAGCAUUCUAACCACUACACCACAUUGACGGUCUCUCAGUGCAAAGAAGGAGGUGAAGUGCUAUUGAGGCUUUCAAGGGCUCUGUGCCUCUAGUAAAGUGCUUCUUGCUUGCACUUUUAUUGCUUCCUGAAGAGUAUAGGAGCAAGAUGAACGAGCAACAGCAGCUCUCCAUUGCCUCACAGCUCCAUUUUUCUCCCCAGUAUUUCAUUUGUAAAAAGUUAAAUGGUGAAGGGGGAUGAGAGGAAAUUAAAACCUACACACACAAACACCCAGCAGCAACAGAAACUGACACUGGGACAAAAUCAGCAGGAAAAUUAGUACCCAAAUAAACUGGACUGAAUCUUUUACUUUAACAUUGGCAGGAGACUUGACUGAGCCGCUCCUCCCUGUCACUUCCACCCCCAGGAUGAUGCCCCCGCAUGAUGUCCCGGGUCCAGAGGUAAGAAUGUUGGCCGGUUUGUACUGGGAGUUGUAGCCCAAAUCAUCUGGAGACUAAGGGAGGCUGCCCUAAGUUAUGCAAGCAUUGAACUUAGCAAACUAUAAUACGAGAUUGCCUCAACAUUUAUCACCUAGGAUUUAAAAGCUGGCUUUCGAAUCGCAUUCCCAAAGGCUCGUUGGAAAGGCUUCAGCAUGGAAAUGUCUUGCAUUGUUAUUUUUUUGCCAUUUUCUUCCUCCCUUUGGCUGUCAGUUUUGUUUCCACCCAGACAGGCAUGAUACAAGGAGGCAAAAAAAGUCGAGUUCCUUCCCUGCCAGAAUCCUGGUAUUCCGGGAAUCCUGUCCAGCAACCCCGAGCUCAUUUGUCGAUAACGCCAAGCUGGUUCAAAGGCUCCUGGCAAGCAGAGUGCAUUAAGCCACAAUGACAGGAAAGGGGCCCUCAGCAUCCGCUAGGAAGUCUUAAGUUAUUUUGGUGGGAGCGGCAGGCGCAGCCCAGGGAGGGAAGGGUCUAUUUCUCCUCUAGUGUGAGCAAUGGAAGGCGUGCUCCCACUUACUUUCUGCAGCGUUCCCACUCUGUAGGGCGAGUGGGCAACUGGUUGAUUUAUUCAGAGAGUUGCACACACACAUCCCUCUUUAGCCUUUGGGUAAUGCAGUGCUGAUUUGCUGAUUUAUUUAAUUUCUAUCCCAACCUCUUUCUCUAAGGAGCUCAAGGUGGUGUAUGUGGUUGUCCCCCUCCCCAUUUAAUCCCCACACAGCAACAACCCUGUUAGAUAGGUUAGGCUGAGAGAAGCAGAGACUGGCCCAAAGUCUUCCAGUCAGCUUCGUGGAUGGGAUAGCUCAGUCAAUAGAGCAUCAGACUCCUGAUCUCAAGGUCAUGGGUUUGAGCCCCUUAUAGGAGAACAGGUUCCCAUAUUGCAGGGAAUCAAUUCUAUGAUUCUAUGGCCAAGUGGGGCCUCUGAGCCCCGGUCUCUCCCAGGUCCUACUCUAACCACUGCACCACAAUGGCUUUCUAUCCAUUAAAGCAAAUGGAGCCUUGCCCCACCAACCUCAGCCAAAACCCCACCUGCCUGCCUUCUUACUUAUUGUUAUAAUUAAACUCUUUCAACAUAUAACAUCAUACAAGCCAGCGUUUAGACAAUAAGUGUAAAAUAACAUCCGAAUAAACUAAUGUUCUUAUCCCAGACUACUAAGGAAGGCGAUAAACAGUUUAUGUGAACCCAAAAGUUUUAUAAUGCGAGUCCUCUGUUUUCUUUUUUAGCCAUAAAACUGUUCCGAUCGGCUACAAAAAGAGUAUUUGUGCUUUAAACCUUGUGCCAAUUUUAUUUUAUUAUUGUUUUCCCACAAGUGCAAUUUGGCCGUAUUUUUGUUGCACCAAUUUGUCAGAGAAGCCCCAUUUAAGUUUUUCCAGGAUCCUGUCAUUAUAAGCCUGCCUGUUAGCAGAAGAGAAUUUAUUUGAGGUUUGAGUUGCAGGUUAAUAUGGUUUCUGGUGAAAGAGUUUAGGUGCAACAGCUCUGGACAUUUAGAAACAUUGUGUCGCGUAAUUGCUUUUAUGUGGACAAAUACUUCCUCCCAGAAUAAUCAGUUUGGGGAGUGGCCUUGCCUGCCAGCUUCCUCCUCCUCCUUAGUCUCAAGUGUUGCCCUUGUAGAACUCAAGGAUGGGGGCAAAACCAGAAUUAGUUGAGUCCUCCUGUCGUUGACUCUGGCGCCACCUACUGUUGGGCUCCUUGCCUUCUGUCCUGUCAAUGGACAUCAGCUACCACUAACAGAUCUUGUAGGUUUUUAUCUUGUUUCAAAAACCUGUUUCACUAGAGGGGAGGAGAGGGGCAGAAAAAAAUGCAUGUGCAGACAGCAUAAGAAGGGAAGCUUCCCUCAAAUCACUCCACCUAUUUGGCCCCUUUAGCGGCACGCAAAACAUUAAUGAGAACCGCUGCUAGAUCUCUCUUUCCUGCAGUAAAGAAGUGAAAAGAGAUUCUGCAAGUUUAAUCCUAGCUGCACUGUUUUUCUCUUUCCCGUUUUAACUCAUUUUAUGUUAGAUUUUUUUUUGCAUUUUGUUGUUUGUUCGUUUAUUUAUCUAUACAAUUUAUAUAGUGCUUACCUACAAUAGUCUCUAAGCGGUUUACAUGAUAAAUAAGUUUUACAUGAUAAAUAAAUAAAAUAAUCAAUUAAAUAAAUAAGGUAAGAUAAGAAUCAAUUAAAACUAUAAAAUCAAACAUUAAUUAUUCGGUAGGCAUCGGAAGCUCAAUAGGAAGGCAGCCUGCCUGAUAUCAGCUGGAAGGAGGUUACGUAUAAUUAAUGGACCUAUGAAUGUGCAUUAGAGAAGAACAGUCUUGGUCAACUUGGCACCCUCCAGGUGUUCUGAACUACAACUCCCAUCAGCCCAGAGUUGUACAGAACAUCAGGAGGCCACAAGGUUGGGGAAGGAUGUGGAAGAACCUAAGAAGUUAGUUGCUGGAUCAGGCCAGUGGCCCACAUAGUUCAGCACCCUGUUCUCAUAGUGGACAAGCAGAUGCUGCAAUGGGAAGCCUAUAAGCAGACCCUGAGGGUGCAACAGCACUGAGUAUCUUAUUUUUCCUUCUUUUGAUAAUUUCAAUGUGGGUAGGUGACAAGAAACUUUCCCCACCGGGUACCAGCUGACCUUGCUAUGCCACUGGCAGUGCUUUCCCCACUUGAUUGACUCCCCGAGGGAGCUUAAGACAGUGAUGCCACUUAUCAGGUGCUAAGGUUAUAUGUUUAUAGGGAAGUGAAGGCCUGACCACCUUUUUCUUUGCCUAUUCCCAUUUUACAGAUGGUAAAAGAAGGUCCGAGACUAGCUACCUAACCAAGCGCACAGGCAGACUUCUUGGCAGAGCAGCGCUUGAAGCUGACCUCCCAAAUCCAAGCUGAACACGCUCUCAGUUUCAUUUUUGGUCUUACCCCAGAGGCACACACAGCGGGAACUGCUUUCCACAUGUCCCAAGGAGGAGGACUGUAUCCGCAAAUGCUUUCCCUGAGGCACAAUUUCAAGCUGAGAGCCGGAAAUGGCUGGGGCAGCUAAUUUUUCACCCUCUCCAUUUAAUUGCUGCAAGACAAGUAGAAGUUCAGGAAGUGAAGCAAGGGCUUUGAAUGAUUGGGAAAGCUUGGCCUGCUGCCAUUUGUCCACAGGGAAGGACUCUGGCUCAGUCACAGAGCACCUGCUAUGCAGGCAGAAGGUCGCAGGUUCAAUUCCCAGCAACAUCUCCAGGUAGCACUGGGGAAAUAAUUAUACUUGAAACUGUGGCAAGCCACUGCCUGUUGGAAUAGGUGUACCAGUGGUCUGGUUGGGUAUGGGAAACAGACAG